ensembl:lncRNA
GCUGGGGGCGCGCUCGUCCCGCAGUUGGCCGCCUCUCCGGCUCGCAGAUCGGAAGCUCUUGUGGAAGAAAAGGUCUCUUGGAGCCCGCUCACCCAGUUCGUGGGAAAAGCUGUCAGGCAUUUGCUUCUGGACGCCUAGACUACAGCCGGGAUCGUCCCGGUGGCUGGCUGAGGCUGCGUGCUUGUGUCUGUCCCGGACACCGUGGCCCGCUGCUGGCACAGCGCGCAGAGGUUGUUGCGCAGGGGCUCAGAUUCCGGGUAGCUCCGGGCAUUCGCCUGGGCGCAGGCGUUGGAGGGGACAACAGAGAGCGUCUAUUUCAACUAACUUUGCAAAGUGAAUCAGAGCGAUGACUCAAGCCAUCGCGAAAGAGGGAGAUAAGUUCCCUUGAAGUGUUGAGCGCCUUGAUGACCUAAUGCUGAUUUCGCGCAGAAUGGUCAGAUCCCACUCACGCAGCUCUGGCUCUGUUCAACUCGGCAAGUACACCUACGCAGUAAAUACCACCGGUCACUCAGCGGCGCAAGCAGGUCGCCCUCUGCGCGCUACAGCCUGCGGGGCGGGAGCCUUGGAGCUCACCCCUGGAGCUCAGCUGGUGCUGACGUCUGUUCAAGCCUUUAAAUGUGCCCGUCCCUGAGUAGGAGGGAACGGAGUUUGUAGCAGUCGCUUUGCCCGAAGGGAGUCGCGCCUCUGCUCUAGCAGGCGCAACCCUGGUUGCCCCUCGCUCUUCCUGGAUCUGCGUUUCUGUCUGACCUCUUUGUACUGACUCUCCCGCCAGGCUCUCCAGCUGGAGGCACAUUUGGUUUUGCAUCCCAGGAGAGAUCCAACAGGGCUUCUCAUACCC